rnacentral:rRNA from 1 species
CCUACGGGCGGUAGCAGUGAGGAAUAUUGGUCAAUGGACGCAAGUCUGAACCAGCCAUGCCGCGUGCAGGAUGACGGCUCUAUGAGUUGUAAACUGCUUUUGUACGAGGGUAAACCCCGAUACGUGUAUCGGGUUGAAAGUAUCGUAUGAAUAAGGAUCGGCUAACUCCGUGCCAGCAGCCGCGGUAAUACGGAGGAUCCGAGCGUUAUCCGGAUUUAUUGGGUUUAAAGGGUGCGUAGGCGGUUUGAUAAGUUAGAGGUGAAAUGUCGGGGCUCAACCCCGAAACUGCCUCUAAUACUGUUAGACUAGAGAAUAGUUGCGGUAGGCGGAAUGUAUGGUGUAGCGGUGAAAUGCUUAGAGAUCAUACAGAACACCGAUUGCGAAGGCAGCUUACCAAGCUAUAUCUGACGUUGAGGCACGAAAGCGUGGGUAGCAAACAGGAUUAGAUACCCGGGUAGUC